rnacentral:misc_RNA from 1 species
ACGCCCUCGUCAUAAACACCCUCCCCCUAUCGCCUUGCCGUGUACACAGACCUGGCUGUUGUUCACUGUUUCUCUGUUGGCCCAGCUUGACACUUGCUAAUCGAUUCCCUAUUGUCCCCAGUAGUUGGCGGUCAGAUCCCGCUAAAUCUGCUUAAACCCUCAGACACAUUGUAUUUCCUCCGCUGUGCAUAACAUACGCUUGUCCGUUUGUCCGUUUGUCCAUCCAUUUUAUUUUCUGUGUUGUUGUUUUGUCUGUCCUUUUCCCGUCUGUCUGGUUUUCUGUUCAGCCUCCCCACUCUUCCACCGCGAGCAUCUUUACACUAACAUCGGUGACAUUCGUCCUUCCCUCCAGCAUCCUCUCCAUUCCUUGGGUAUUGGUCAUCUUGUGUUUGGUCUACCUACUGACCAGUUUGUUUAUCUUCUCACCAGCCCUCUCUCUUCUCCACAGCUACUGUCCUCUCCCUUCUCACUUGUCUCACUCCAGCACAUUCUCCACUUUUCACUCCCCCACACCUCCCACCUGCAGUUACCUCCCCCUGUGUAAGAACUACAGCUCCCUACCAUUGUGUUGUGGACGGUCAAACAAUUUGGAUUUUUUUUAAAAGAAGGUGAAUUAGAUCCGCGAGCACAAAGGGACGGCUGGACAUUAGGUCGUACAGGACGAGGGGUCAGUCUGAGAAAGGGAUCGUUACUUCUGCACCUGUUCGCAGCUGACAAUGAAGGGCUGUUGCUUCUUUGUCCUGUCUUUAUGCGUGAUUAUUCACCUCCAAGUCAGCAUCGUCGCCGGCCAAGGAGCAUGCAACAUGACCCAGGCUGCUGUAUGCGUGACCUCCAUGGAAAGCGCUGUCAGGCAUGUUCUAGAAAGUACUUCCGGUGUGACCAAACAGGAAUCGCUUCAACGGCUUUGUCUGGAUGUCAUAAAGGGAAACAACCUCACCCAGUGCUACAUCGAGGCGACGGGAGGAUGUUCUUCAUCCGAAGCGGGGGAGACGCCCACGGCAGCCAUGCGCGACUGGGAGCGCGUGAUGCAAGACUUGUAUCAGAUGUGCGAUGGGGCAUGCCCUGAUUUUCUUGAGAGAACGAUCAACAUCACACAGUGCACCAGCCUGAUUCGUUUUGAUGAGCUGUAUGACAACUCCUACCUCUCCUUUUGCAGGUCUCUCAACGCCAGCCUGGAAUGUUCGCAGAAGUGUCUGGAGGUUGUGAUCUGUUCUCUCAGCUGUUCUACGACCUCUUACCAAAGGGCGUUGACCAAACGGCCAGCGCUAUCUGUACCUCAGGCUGCGAUAACUUUAACGAGGCGCUCAGCAUCUUGGAAACAUGCAAAAGUUACGUGGCCAAUUUACCUGAAGAUCUUGAUGCUGCCUGCAGCGCCUACCGUCAGUUUCGCACGUGCCUGUACUCUAGUGACGUGCCGCUCACGUGCCCGAUGUUCGGGGCCCUGAUGGACGUCCUGUACCCGCAGCACAUCUUCGGCCUGUACGAGGAGCAGUGUAACGAUACCAGAGCGGACCAAGACACGUGCGGAGAGAAGGGCGUGGCCAAGAUGGACCACUGUCUCCGGGUCCUGGCCUUGGCCUGGCCAGCAAGCACGGACACACCUGUCCUCUCGAUGGACCAGUGCAG